GAAACCUAACAGCUAGCCCCCUCAACUAACAACAAAACUUCACCAUUAAUAACCCCAAAUUAACCAACCGACAUAAAACAAAUCAUUUUUCCCCCUUAGUAUGGGCGACAGAAAAGGGCCGACGGAGCAAUAGAAAAAGUACCGCAAGGGAACGCUGAAAGAGAAAUGAAAUAAAUCAGUAAAGUUUUAAAAAGCAGAGCUUAACCCUCGUACCUUUUGCAUCAUGAUUUAGCCAGUGUACGUCAAGCAAAGCGCAUUUUAGUUUGACACCCCGAAACUAAGUGAGCUACCCCAAGACAGCCUAGUCUAUAGGGCAAACCCGUCUCUGUGGCAAAAGAGUGGGAAGAUCUUUGGGUAGAGAUGACAGAUCUACCGAACUUAGUAAUAGCUGGUUGCCCGAGACUUGAAUAGAAGUUCAGCCUGGCGGCUUCUCCGUUCACACAAAGAACUAAUCUUAUCUGAUAAGUGCAGAAACCGCCAGAGUUAGUCAAAGGAGGUACAGCUCCUUUGAAAUAAGACACAACUUUUACAGAAGGAUAAGGACCAUA
rnacentral:rRNA from 1 species